CGUCAAAUUCAUCCUUCAAAUGUGCACGCAACGUCAACAAUUGCAAUGCUUCUGAGAAGACUCAUGUGUGCCGACUAAGUAUUCGGAUGCCUAUUCCACUUCCGGUCGAAGAAACACGGUUUCCCGGCGAGCUGAAGACAUCAAGAUUCACAAAAACUCAUCUUUCACGGCGAACUAUUUGUCUACCAUCGAUAAGCGACGGGGUUAAGUUGUUUGGAAGUACCGAUAUGAUUCGACGAAAGCACGGGUAUUCUUUUCGUUCUAGUUUUCCUCUUCCCAUCCCGGCUUCGUUACGAAGACGCGAGGCGCGAAGAGAAGAGAAGGUUAAGAGCCGUUGCGAGUGACGGGAACGCCGAUCUCAGUCUCUAUCGAUCGAUCCCCGCCGUAAAUCCCGUAGAUCGGUGAUCGCACGGCUCGGAUCCCGCCGGCCGGUCGCCGGAGAUGAAUAUCUUCAGGUUAGCGGGCGACAUGACGCAUCUCAUUAGCGUCCUCGUCCUUCUCCUCAAGAUCCACACCAUCAAGUCCCGGUACGUAUUUCCCUCUCCGUCUUUGGUUUCGCUUGCAGUCCGAUUUGAAUAGUUAGGCUUUUAGGAUUUGGUGCUGGAAGGAGAGAUCUUCGAAGCAUCCUAUUUAUUUUCUUGAUAGAGUGGAGCAGAUCACGUCUGACCGUGGAGUUGGGUCACGAUCUGAAUGCCUGCUGCCUAUUUAUGCCCUGCUAAAGAGUAGAACUAAGACACUAGAAAGCUAUUCUACAUCAGUAAAGAAAGUGUCACAGCGUGACCAGAGCCUUGCCAACCCUCCUAAUCAAGUUAGGGAAAGGAUUAUUGAAGCUCUAUCACUAAGUCAUGAUGGUGAUCUCUGAUAAGUGUCGUCUAUUGUUCUGUUAAAUUUUAACUGUAUUAUUAUCAUUUUUUAGUUGAGAUUUUAGGAAACAUGUGGAGUGCAAUUUGGAGCUUAUUUUGCGUCAAGAGUACUAAAAUAAUAUAGCAUGUUAGCUAGUUGUUUAGCUACAAGGACUCAUAACUGGGGACUUCUAGAGGUCUUUUUUGGCGGGUCUUAAAAUUGAGAAAAUAACAAAAGUUAAAACUCUCUCAAAUACUGUCUCUCAGUAAGCUAUAUGUUUAUCAGCGACUAAAAGCUCUCGAGACAUGAUUAUGAUUGGUUAUUAUAUUUGUACAAUAAAAUAUUUAUAAUUUCAGAACUCCCUGUCUUAUUCAUUCUUGUAGAGUUUUUUUUUUUCCUUUUUAAAUUUGAGAAGUGCUCGAUAGGAGUGACAUAUCCUAUCAAAAAAUGAAAGGAAAGGAAAGAUGCAAGGAAUAAUGCUUUCUCUUCCAUCCACUGAUGGCUUCAGUAUUAUUUAUAUCUCUUUUGUUUUUUUAUAUGGUCAUUUGAGCAUUUAACUAUAUUUUAUUUGACUGGCUCGACCAUGUAUGAUCUACAUAUUCAACUACUCAGAUUCUAUCAUGUUCUAAGAAUUCAUCUUGUCUUACAAACCAUAUCACUAUUUGCUAUUGACAUAGUUAAAUCAUAAAUGAGAUGCAAUAAGGAUGAACUGAUAUAAAAUUUUGCUUGCCAUUCUUGUAACUUUGUCAUAUGGUUCACAAUAGCUAGUCCCUGAUUUGCUUCACCUCCUUUAUGUUUUUAAUACAUGAUAUCUCUUGAUGCAUAUAUGUUCAAACAAACCAUGAAGUUUUAUACCUCUCAUCAUCAGAGCCAACAAGAGGUAUAUGAUCACUUUUCCUGAUCAUUUUGUGUACCAUUCUUUGUUUUUUUUUUUCUUUUUGCUCACUUGUUUCCUUGUCUUGUAUUUUCUCCUCGAUGUUGUCAUUCUAAUUAUGGAUUUUUUGGGAAAGUACAUUUUGAUGCAUGUGCAACUGUGUGCUUCUCUUGAAAGGUAAUGACCACAAAUGCAUUUUUAUUUGUCAGUUUGAUAAUUUACUAUCUCUCAGUCAGAAUGAAGUAUUAUUUUCCCUUAAUCUGAUGCAAGUUUUUAUCCAUCUUUUUCUGAAUCUAACUGACCAUCAAUAAUCUAUUCUGGUUGGUUGCUUUAUCAACAUAAGAAACCUCAUGAUUAAGUUAUUCCUCCUAAGUGAUUCUCUUCAAUGUAUGUUAUUACAACUGGUUUCUAGUAUUACUAGAUAUCAUAAAGAUUUUAUUUUUCCAAAUGAACUAACUCUCAAACUUGACAUCUAUUUUGUGGCUACUUCUUGUUUGGAUCUUGAUUGUCUUUCUGGUGUAUUUAAUCUUGGAUUUUUUAAUCUUUGUUUUAAAAAAAACUCUUUCCUUUACAUAAAGUUGGUUAUAUUUUAUGUGUAUAACUUGACAUAGUUCAUGUUAUUUUCUAACAGGCAUUUCUCUGAAGACACAAGAACUUUAUGCCCUUGUUUUUGCCACUCGAUACUUGGAUGUUGGAUCUUGUAUGGAGAUUCAUGUCAAUGACAUAAGAUUUUGGAUUUUGGAUCUUGAUCCUUUUUUUUCGGAAAAAAAAACUCUUUCCACUACAUAAAGUUGGUUUUAUUGUAUGUGUAUAACUUGACAUGGUUCAUGUCAUUUUCUCACGGGCAUUUCUCUGAAGACACAAGAGCUUUAUGCCCUUGUUUUUGCCACUCGAUACUUGGAUAUUUUUACUGAUUUUGUCUCAGUCUAUAAUACGACGAUGAAACUUAUUUUCUUGGGGAGCUUGUUCUCAAUUGUCUGGUACAUGAGAUGACACAAGUUGUCCGUAGAUCUUAUGACAAGGACCAACACACUUUUCGUCACUUCGUUCUUGCAUUACCAUGCCUAGUUCUGGCUUUAGUUAUAAAUGAAAAGUUCACAUUUAAGGAGGUAAGCUCAUGUAUUUGGCAGGAUUAUUUCUUUCUUAAAAAAUUCUUCAAUCAAACAAGAUUUGCCAAUCAUAUCUUGUAAUUAAUGUAUCAUUAUGACUGGAAUAGGUUUUGUUUGGAAUUGUUCCUGAGUAUAUUCCCUUCUCUAUCUUCAUGCUUCUACGCCAAGUGUCCUGAUUUCUUUUUUCAUGACAGGUUAUGUGGACAUUCUCCCUAUAUUUGGAAGCAGUUGCAAUACUUCCUCAGCCGGUAUUGUUGCAAAGGACAAAAAAUAUAGACAACUUGACUGUUCAAUAUGUUUUCUUCUAGGAGCAUACAGAGCAUACAGAGCAUUUGACAUCCUAAACUGGAUUUACUGCUACUUCACUGAGCCUCACUGUGUUCAUUGGAUAAUUGGAAGAACAAUGUCAAGCUCAAGCUACCAGCAUGAUUUGGUCUUAUUUCAAGGUCAACCAACCGUGGUAGGAUCUAGCCAUAAUGUGUGAGGAGUUACUCUUCUGGAGGCUUACUCUUGUGAAUUCCAUUCUCUUGUUUGAGUCCUUCAAGUUGCCCUAUCGUUUUAACAUGUCAAGAGUCAUUUUU